CAUGUCUUUUUGAUAAUGAUUUAAGGUCUAAUCUGCUCAAUGAUGAUAUUAAAUUGCCGCAGUAUUUUGACUGUGCAAAGGUAGCAUAAUAAUUAGUUUCUUAAUUAGAAACUGGAAUGAACGAUUGGACAAGAAAGUUUCUGUCUCUUUUUUAUUAUUUUUGAAUUUUAUUUUUAAGUGAAAAAGCUUAAAUUUUUAUAAAAGACGAGAAGACCCUAUAGAGUUUUAUAGUUUAAUUUAAUUUAAUGUUAGUAAAUUUUGUUAAUUUGAUCUAUUUGGUUGGGGUGAUUUGAAGAUUAGAUUAAUUCUUUAAAAAAUUAAUUAAUGAUUUUUAAUUUCUAUAUUUAGUGUUAUUAAAUAUAAAAUAAAUUACCUUAGGGAUAACAGCGUAAUUUUUCUUAAAAGUUCUUAUUUAAAGGAAAGUUUGCGACCUCGAUGUUGGAUUAAAAUUAAUUUUUGGUGCAAUAACUUAAAAAUUAGGUCUGUUCGACCUUUAAAAUUUUACAUGAUCUGAGUUUAGACCGGUGUAAACCAGGUUGGAUUCUAUCUUUAGAAAUUAUAAUAUAUUUUAGUACGAAAGGACCAAGUAUAUGUUAUAUUAAUUG
rnacentral:rRNA from 1 species